GAGUUUGAUCAUGGCUCAGAACGAACGCUGGCGGCAUGCCUAACACAUGCAAGUCGAACGAACUCUUCGGAGUUAGUGGCGCACGGGUGCGUAACGCGUGGGAAUCUGCCCUUGGGUACGGAAUAACUCAGAGGAAAUUUGUGCUAAUACCGUAUAAUGACUUCGGUCCAAAGAUUUAUCGCCCAAGGAUGAGCCCGCGUAAGAUUAGCUAGUUGGUGGGUAAAGGCCUACCAAGGCUACGAUCUUUAGCUGGUCUGAGAGGAUGAUCAGCCACACUGGGACUGAGACACGGCCCAGACUCCUACGGGAGGCAGCAGUGGGGAAUAUUGGACAAUGGGCGAAAGCCUGAUCCAGCAAUGCCGCGUGAGUGAUGAAGGCCUUAGGGUUGUAAAGCUCUUUUACCCGGGAUGAUAAUGACAGUACCGGGAGAAUAAGCUCCGGCUAACUCCGUGCCAGCAGCCGCGGUAAU
rnacentral:rRNA from 1 species